rnacentral:rRNA from 1 species
AAUGAACGUUGGCGGCGUGGAUUAGGCAUGCAAGUCGUGCGGAAAGGCCCCGCAAGGGGUACUCGAGCGGCGAAAGGGAUAGUAACGCGUAGGUCACCUACCCUCGGGACGGGGAUAGCUGGGGGAAACUCCAAUUAAUACCCGAUAACAUCUCCGGAUCAAAGGUGUGAUUCCGCCUGAGGACGGGCCUGCGUCCUAUCAGCUAGUUGGUGAGGUAACGGCCCACCAAGGCAACGACGGGUAGCGGGUGUGAGAGCACGACCCGCAUCACUGGGACUGAGAUACUGCCCAGACACCUACGGGUGGCUGCAGUCGAGGAUCUUCGGCAAUGGGCGAAAGCCUGACCGAGCGACGCCGCGUGCGGGAUGAGGGCCUUCGGGUUGUAAACCGCUGUCAGUGGGGAGGAAAUCUGGGAGGGAUCACCCUCUCAGUUGACCUAUCCGCAGAGGAAGGACGGGCUAAGUUCGUGCCAGCAGCCGCGGUAAUACGAACCGUCCUAACGUUAUUCGGAAUCACUGGGCUUAAAGGGUGCGUAGGCGGUCCGGUAAGUUGGGUGUGAAAUCCCUCGGCUUAACCGAGGAAUUGCGCUCAAAACUGUCGGACUUGAGGGAGACAGAGGUGAGUGGAACUUAGGGUGGAGCGGUGAAAUGCGUUGAUAUCCUAAGGAACACCGGUGGCGAAAGCGACUCACUGGGUCUCUUCUGACGCUGAGGCACGAAAGCUAGGGUAGCGAACGGGAUUAGAUACCCCGGUAGUCCUAGCCGUAAACGAUGAGCACUAGAUCGAAGGGUACACCAUAGCCUUUUGGUCGUAGCGAAAGUGUUAAGUGCUCCGCCUGGGGAGUAUGGUCGCAAGGCUG